UGAGGAAUAUUGGUCAAUGGGGGCAACCCUGAACCAGCCAAGUCGCGUGAAGGAUGAAGGUCUUAUGGAUUGUAAACUUCUUUUAUACAGGAAUAAAUUGGGGGACGUGUCCCCUUUUGCAUGUACUGUAUGAAUAAGGAUCGGCUAACUCCGUGCCAGCAGCCGCGGUAAUACGGAGGAUCCGAGCGUUAUCCGGAUUUAUUGGGUUUAAAGGGUGCGCAGGCGGGAUGUUAAGUCGGCGGUGAAAUUUUGCAGCUCAACUGUAAAAGUGCCUUCGAUACUGGCCUCCUUGAGUGUGGAUGAAGUAGGCGGAAUUUGUGGUGUAGCGGUGAAAUGCUUGGAUAUCACGAGGAACUCCGAUUGCGCAGGCAGCUUACUAAGCCACAACUGACGCUCAUGCACGAAGGCGUGGGGAUCAAACA
rnacentral:rRNA from 1 species